AACGAACGCUGGCGGCAUGCCUAACACAUGCAAGUCGAACGAGACCUUUCGGGGUCUAGUGGCGCACGGGUGCGUAACGCGUGGGAAUCUGCCCUCGGGUUCGGAAUAACACAGAGAAAUUUGUGCUAAUACCGGAUGAUGUCUUCGGACCAAAGAUUUAUCGCCCAAGGAUGAGCCCGCGUAGGAUUAGGUAGUUGGUGGGGUAAUGGCCUACCAAGCCGACGAUCCUUAGCUGGUCNGAGAGGAUGAUCAGCCACACUGGGACUGAGACACGGCCCAGACUCCUACGGGAGGCAGCAGUGGGGAAUAUUGGACAAUGGGCGAAAGCCUGAUCCAGCAAUGCCGCGUGAGUGAUGAAGGCCUUAGGGUUGUAAAGCUCUUUUACCAGGGAUGAUAAUGACAGUACCUGGAGAAUAAGCUCCGGCUAACUCCGUGCCAGCAGCCGCCGUAAC
rnacentral:rRNA from 1 species